rnacentral:rRNA from 1 species
AACGAACGCUGGCGGCAGGCUUAACACAUGCAAGUCGAACGCCCCGCAAGGGGAGUGGCAGACGGGUGAGUAACACGUGGGAACAUGCCCAAAGGUACGGAAUAUCCUCGGGAAACUGGGAGCAAUACCGUAUGUGCCCGGAAGGGGAAAGAUUUAUCGCCUUUGGAUUGGCCCGCGUCAGAUUAGGUAGUUGGUGGGGUAAUGGCCUACCAAGCCGACGAUCUGUAGCUGGUCUGAGAGGACGACCAGCCACACUGGGACUGAGACACGGCCCAGACUCCUACGGGAGGCAGCAGUGGGGAAUCUUGGACAAUGGGCGCAAGCCUGAUCCAGCCAUGCCGCGUGGAUGAUGAAGGCCCUAGGGUUGUAAAAUCCUUUCGUUGGGGACGAUAAUGACGGUACCCAAAGAAGAAGCUCCGGCUAACUUCGUGCCAGCAGCCGCAGUAA